rnacentral:rRNA from 1 species
CCUACGGGUAGCAGCAGUAGGGAAUUUUGCGCAAUGGGCGAAAGCCUGACGCAGCAAAGCCGCGUGAACGAGACGCCCUUCGUGGUGUAAAGUUCUGUCAGUGCGGACGAAAAAUGACGGUACCCACAGACGAAGCGCCGGCUCACUCCGUGCCAGCCGCCGCGGUACUACGGAGGGUGCAGGCGUUGUCCGGGAUUAUUGGGCGUAAAGAGUUCUUAGGGGGGAUGUAAAGUCAGGUGUUAAAUGUGCAGGCUCAACCUGUGUAUGGCACUUGAUACUUGCAAGCUGGAAUGCGGUAGAGGUAAAGGGAAUGCCUGGUGUAGCGGUGAAAUGCUUAGAUAUCAGGAGGAACAUCGGUGGCGUAAGCGCUUUACUGGGCCGUAAUUGACGCUGAGGAACGAAAGCCAGGGUAGCAAAUGGGAUUAGAUACCCGAGUAGUC